UUCGCUGGCGGGUGCUCAACAUGCAGUCGAACGAGAAAGUCCCCUUCGGGGGAUAAGUAAAGUGGCGCACGGGUGAGUAACACGUAGGUAAUCUACCUUCGGGUGGGGAAUAACCCAGGAAACUUGGGCUAACACCGCAUAAUGCAGCGGCACCACAUGGUGACAGUUGUUAAAGCGGGGGAUUUUAGGACCUCGCGCCUGAAGAGGAGCCUGCGGCGGAUUAGCUAGUUGGUGAGGUAACGGCUCACCAAGGUGACGAUCCGUAGCCGGCCUGAGAGGGCGGUCGGCCACACUGACACUGACAUACGGGUCAGACUCCUACGGGAGGCAGCAGUCGGGAAUUUUGGGCAAUGGGCGAAAGCCUGACCCAGCAACGCCGCGUGAAGGAUGAAAUCCCUCGGGAUGUAAACUUCGCAAGAAUGGGAAGAAUUAGUAGGGGUUAAUACCCCCUAUGAUGACGGUACCAUUUGUAAGCUCCGGCUAACUCCGUGCCAGCAGCCGCGGUAAUAC
rnacentral:rRNA from 1 species